CUAGUAAUCGCGGAUCAGCAUGCCGCGGUGAGUACGUUCCCGGGCCUUGUACACACCGCCCGUCACACCAUGAGAGCCGAUAACACCCGAAGCCUGUGAGCUAACCGGUAAGGGGGGCAGCAGUCGAAGGUGGGGGUUGGUGAUUGGGGGUGAAGUCGUAACAAGGUAGC
rnacentral:rRNA from 1 species